UACGUAGGGUGCGAGCGUUUGUCCGGAAUUAUUGGGCGUAAAGAGCUUGUAGGCGGUUUGUCGCGUCUGCUGUGAAAAUCCGGGGCUCAACCCCGGACUUGCAGUGGGUACGGGCAGACUAGAGUGUGGUAGGGGAGACUGGAAUUCCUGGUGUAGCGGUGAAAUGCGCAGAUAUCAGGAGGAACACCCGAUGGCGAAGGCAGGUCUCUGGGCC
rnacentral:rRNA from 1 species